GUAGGGGUGCGAGCGUUAUCCGGGAAUCAUUGGGCGUAAAGAGCUCGUAGGCGGUUCAGCAAGUCGGCUGUGAAAUUCCGAGGGCUCAACCUCGGAACUGCAGUCGAUACUGCUGUGACUCGAGUCCGGUAGAGGAGAAUGGAAUUCCCGGUGUAGCGGUGAAAUGCGCAGAUAUCGGGAGGAACACCAGUAGCGAAGGCGGUUCUCUGGGCCGGCACUGACGCUGAGGAGCGAAAGCGUGGGUAGCAAACAGGAUUAGAUACCCUGGUAGUCCACGCCGUAAACGUUGGAUACUAGGUGUGGGGUUCCGACCAACGGUCCCCGUGCCGAAGCUAACGCAUUAAGUAUCCCGCCUGGGGAGUACGGCCGCAAAGGCUAA
rnacentral:rRNA from 1 species